rnacentral:rRNA from 1 species
CAGCCGCCACGGGAAUACGAAGGGGGCUAGCGUUGUUCGGAAUUACUGGGCGUAAAGGGCGCGUAGGCGGCCAUUCAAGUUAGAUGUGAAAGCCCUGGGCUCAACCUAGGAAUUGCAUUUGAUACUGUUUGGCUUGAGUUCGGGAGAGGUGAGUGGAAUUCCCAGUGUAGAGGUGAAAUUCGUAGAUAUUGGGAAGAACACCGGUGGCGAAGGCGGCGACCUGGUCCUUGACUGACGCUGAGGCGCGAAAGCGUGGGGAGCAAACAGGAUUAGAUACCCCCGUAGUCCCUGUCUCUUAUAC